rnacentral:rRNA from 1 species
CGCGAAUCGCCCUUGGUGCAGCAGGCGCGAAAACUUUACAAUGCUGGAAACAGCGAUAAGGGGACCUCGAGUGCCAGGUUACAAAUCUGGCUGUCGUGAUGCCUAAAAAGCAUUGCAUAGCAAGGGCCGGGCAAGACCGGUGCCAGCCGCCGCGGUAACACCGGCGGCUCGAGUGGUAACCGUUAUUAUUGGGUCUAAAGGGUCUGUAGCCGGCCGGAUAAGUCUCUUGGGAAAUCCAGCAGCUCAACUGUUGGGCUUUCAGGAGAUACUGUCUGGCUCGAGGCCGGGAGAGGUGAGAGGUACUUCAGGGGUAGGGGUGAAAUCUUGUAAUCCUUGAAGGACCACCAGUGGCGAAGGCGUCUCACCAGAACGGACCUGACGGCAAGGGACGAAAGCUAGGGGCACGAACCGGAUUAGAUACCCGGGUAGUCCUAGCCGUAAACGAUACUCGCUAGGUGUCGGCCACGGUGCGACCGUUGUCGGUGCCGUAGGGAAGCCGUGAAGCGAGCCACCUGGGAAGUACGGCCGCAAGGCUGAAACUUAAAGGAAUUGGCGGGGGAGCAC